rnacentral:rRNA from 1 species
CAGCGCCACGAGUGGCAAUCGUGUAUUUGGCCUAAAGCGUCCGUAGCUGGCGUUGUAAAUCCUUUGUGAAAUCGUUUGGCUUAACCUAACGGCGUGCAGAGGACACUGCAAUGCUUGAGACCGGAAGGAGUCAGAGGUAUUCCUGGGGGAGCGGUAAAAUGCAUAAUCCCAGGAGGACCGCCAGUGGCGAAGGCGUCUGACUAGAACGGAUCUGACAGUGAGGGACGAAAGCCAGGGGAGCGAACCGGAUUAGAUACCCGAGUAGUCC